GACGAACGCUGGCGGCGUGCUUAACACAUGCAAGUCGAGCGGAAAGGCCCUUCGGGGUACUCGAGCGGCGAACGGGUGAGUAACACGUGAGUAACCUGCCCCUGACUUCGGGAUAAGCCUGGGAAACUGGGUCUAAUACCGGAUAUGACUACUUCGGGCAUCCGAUGGUGGGUGGAAAGUUUUUUCGGUUGGGGAUGGGCUCGCGGCCUAUCAGCUUGUUGGGUGGGGUAGUGGCCUACCAAGGCGACGACGGGUAGCCGGCCUGAGAGGGCGACCGGCCACACUGGGACUGAGACACGGCCCAGACUCCCUACGGGGAGGCAGCAGGUGGGGAAUUCUUGCGCAAUGGGGCGGAAGCCUGAUGCAGCAACGCCGCGUGCGGGAUGA
rnacentral:rRNA from 1 species